GGACCUAGCGGCGGACGGGUGAGUAAUGCUUAGGAAUCUGCCUAUUAGUGGGGGACAACAUCUCGAAAGGGAUGCUAAUACCGCAUACGUCCUACGGGAGAAAGCAGGGGAUCUUCGGACCUUGCGCUAAUAGAUGAGCCUAAGUCGGAUUAGCUAGUUGGUGGGGUAAAGGCCUACCAAGGCGACGAUCUGUAGCGGGUCUGAGAGGAUGAUCCGCCACACUGGGACUGAGACACGGCCCAGACUCCUACGGGAGGCAGCAGUGGGGAAUAUUGGACAAUGGGGGGAACCCUGAUCCAGCCAUGCCGCGUGUGUGAAGAAGGCCUUAUGGUUGUAAAGCACUUUAAGCGAGGAGGAGGCUACUUUAGUUAAUACCUAGAGAUAGUGGACGUUACUCGCAGAAUAAGCACCGGCUAACUCUGUGCCAGCAGCCGCGGUAAUACAGAGGGUGCGAGCGUUAAUCGGAUUUACUGGGCGUAAAGCGUGCGUAGGCGGCUUAUUAAGUCGGAUGUGAAAUCCCCGAGCUUAACUUGGGAAUUGCAUUCGAUACUGGUGAGCUAGAGUAUGGGAGAGGAUGGUAGAAUUCCAGGUGUAGCGGUGAAAUGCGUAGAGAUCUGGAGGAAUACCGAUGGCGAAGGCAGCCAUCUGGCCUAAUACUGACGCUGAGGUACGAAAGCAUGGGGAGCAAACAGGAUUAGAUACCCUGGUAGUCCAUGCCGUAAACGAUGUCUACUAGCCGUUGGGGCCUUUGAGGCUUUAG
rnacentral:rRNA from 1 species